UCGGACGUGGUGCAUGGUGUACACCCGCUUGUGCUGGAUAGUAAAGGAAGAUGCUAACGCGGGAGGCCUGGGUUCGAUUCCCAGCAUCUGAA